rnacentral:sRNA from 1 species
AGUCGUGUUGUGCCAAUGGUGGAGAAGAAAACUUCGGGCUGGAGUGCAGUGGCAUAGUCAUAGCUCACUGCAGCCUCGAAUUCCUGGGAUCAAACCAUCCUCCCACCUCAGCCUCCGGAGUGGCUGGAACUGCAGGCAUGAGGCCCCACGCCUGGUUAAUUUUUAAUGUGUUAUGUGGUGACGGGCUCUCGCUAUGUUGCCCAGGUUGGUCUCCAACUCUUGGCCUCAAAGCGAUCCUCCCGCGUGGGCCUUCCAAAGUGCUGGGAUUACAGGCGUGAGCUGCCGCGCCCGGCCCCAGCUAUUCCUCUUAAAUCCCUUCCUCAGCCCUCGGGUCCUGCCGUUGACCCUUCAUUCACGUUUUAUUGGUGCCUGCUCCAAGCCGGGCGCUGGGGAUGAAGAGGAGAAAGACCCCUGUUAUCCAAGCAUUGGCUUUUUCUGGAAGGGGGCCAGAAACGCAGACCUAACACUAUUUUACUGUGAUUUGUGAUUUGUGCUAUGGCAGAGGGAAGCACAGCGCCUGGGAACAGGGAGACGUGGCAUCUAGCCCAGGUUCUGGGAGGCAGGGGACUGUGAAAGCUUGAAGGAAAAAUGAAAAAGCUUGAAUUGAGUCUUGAAAGUCUAGUUAGGGUUUCUCUCAGUGGGAACCUCACGUGCAAAGGCAGUGAAGCAAGAAAAAGCAAGUCACUUAGGAAGCCAAGUCCACAGUUUGGAUCUUACAGAGUAAUAAGAAAGGAUCGAAGGCUGGGGAAAGGUUACAUUUUGAAAGGCAUUAUACACACUGCCCAGGAGUUUGAACUCUGUAGGGAAACACUGGAGAGCCAGCAAAGGCUUUUUUUUUUUUUAGACAGAGUCUUGCUCUGUCACCCAGGCUGGAAUGCAGUGGUUCUAUAUAACUCACUGCAGCCUCAACCUCCCAUGCUCAAGUGAUUCUUCCGCCUCAGCCACCUGAGUAGGUGGAACUACAGGUGGGUGCAGGCCACCAUGCUGGGCUAGUUUUUAUAUUUUUUGUUGAGAUGGGUGUCUCACUAUGUUGCCCAGGCUGGUCUUGAACUCCUGAGCUCAUGUGAUCCUCCUGCCUCGGCCUUCCAAAAUGCUAGGAUUACAGGCAUGAGCCACUGCGCUUGGCCCUUUUAGUUUUUCUUUCUUUCUUUCUUUUUCUUUUUGAGACGGAGUCUCGCUCUGUCCCCCAGGCUGGAGUGCAGUGGCGCAGUCUCGGUUCACUGCAAGCUCUGCCUCCCGGGUUCACACCAUUCUCCGGCCUCAGCUUCUGGAGUAGCUGGGACUACAGGCGCCCGCCACCACACCCAGCUUAUCUUUUGCAUUUUUAGUAGAGACAGGGUUUCACCAUGUUAGCCAGGAUGGUCUUGAUCUCCUGACCUCGUGAUCCACCCGCCUCGGCCCCCCAAAAUGCUAGAAAUACAGGCAUGAGCCACUGCGCUUGGCCCUCUCAGUUUUUCAAAGGCAUCGCAGUCUCCCAGCCAUGAGUUUUUUCAUGUUGGCCUCAAGGUCUGAAAUACCCCGCUGUCUCCCCUAGCCAGGUCAUUCACCAGUUAGGCCUUAACCUGGACUUACCUUCUUCUGGGAAGUCUUCCCUGACUACUCCAAGGCCAGGUUGGGUGUUUCUGUCCUGGGCUCUGCAGCACUUUAUACUUCCGUAUCCUAGCCUACUCCGUGCUGUACUUACUGUGUUUGUUUCAUUAAUCAUUUGUGUUUGCCACUGGACUGUAAGCUUUGGCAUCCCUAAAACCUAGAGCACUGCCUGGCAUUUGGAGGGGAGACAGAGUAGUACAGUGGUCGUAAUCAUGUUUUUUUUGUUUGGUUGGUUUUGGGUUUUUUUUUUUUUUUGAAACAGGGUCUUGCUCUGUCACCCAGGCUGGAGUGCAGUGGCACAAACACAGCUCACUGCAGCCUUGAGCUCCUGGGCUCAAGCAAUCCUUGCGCCUCAGCCUCCUGAAUAGCUGGGACUACAGGUGUGUCCCACUACACCUGGCUAAUUUUUGUAUUUUUUUUGUAGAAACAGGGUUUUGCCAUGUUGCCCAGGCUGGCCUCGAACUCCCGCGCUCAAACAAUCCACCCACCUUGGCCUCCCAAAGUGCUGAGAUAACAGGCAUGAGCCACUGCGCCUGGCAAGGUCAUGCUUUUUGAUGCUGGGUAGUUCUUUGACUCCUGACCUGGCCACUUGUUAGCUAUGUGAACUUUGGACACAUUUCUUAAUCUCUGAAUGUUGGUAAAUUGGGGAUGAUGAUACUGUCCCAUACAGCUGUUGUAAGGGUUAAAUGGUUCAAGUGUUGCAAAGAGCUGAGCACGUGCCUGGCUCAUAGUAAGUGUCCAACAAGUGAUAGCUACUGGGGCUGCUGCUGUUAUUAUUAUGGUUAACAGGUGGUUAAUGAAUAAAGAGAUAUAUUAUGCAAAAUUAUCAGAAUCUGGCAAACAGCUGAUAAGGCAAUGAGGAAAGAGGUUUUUUGUUUUUUGUUUUUGAGACAGGGUCUCUCUCUGUUGCCCAGGCUGGAAUGCAAUGGCACGAUCUCAGCUCACUGCAACCUCCACCUCCCGGGUUCAAGCGAUUCUUGUGCCUCAGCCUCCCGAGUAGCUGGGAUUACAGGCAUGUGCCACCACACCCUGCUAAUUUUUGUAUUUUUAGUAGAGACAUGGUUUCACCACGUUGGUCAGGCUGGUCUCGAACUCCUGACCUGAAGUGAUGAGCCCACCUCAGCCUCCCAAAGUGCUGGGAUUGCAGGGGUGAGCCACUAUGUCCAGCCGAGGAAAGAGGUUUAAAAUAACUUCUAGGUUUCUGGUUUGGAUGUCUGCAUAGACGGUUCCAUUUGCGUAGAGAGAAUCUGCAGGAGAAGCAGACUUGGAUGGGAAUUUUUUUUUUUUUUUUGAGUUGCAGUGUCCACGGGGCCAGUGGGUGAUUUCUUUUUUCCUUCUUUCUUUUUUUUUUUUUGGAGACAGUCUUGCUCUGUCACUCAGGCUGGAGUGGUGGCACGAUCACGGCUUGCUGCACACUGCAGCCUCAACCUCCCGGGCCCAUGUAGUCCUCCCACUGCAGCCUCCCAAGUAAUUGGGACUACAGGUGUGUGCAACCACGCCUGGCUUAUUUUUUAAUUUUUUGUAGAGAUGGGGUUUGGCUAUGCUGCCCAGACUGGUUUCUAACUCCUGGCAUCAAGCGAUCCUUUGGCCUCCCAAAGUGCUGAGAUUACAGGCGUGCACCACCACACCCGGCCUCACCAGGCGCUGGCUGCAUGGCCAGUUCUGGAGCCCGGGAGCAGGUUCUGUGUUGAGGGAGUCACUCUGGGAGUCAUUUGCUUGUGGGUGAUCAUCAGAGCCCUUUGUUUGGAUUCAAAAUCCCAGGAAGAGUGCAUAGACUGAGCAGAGAAGAGGGCCAGCCACCUCCAUAGAGGCAGGGAGAGCAGCCGAGCUGGAGCCGGAGGAUUCCUGGACAUGGAGAAGGCCUGCAGUUUUGUCAAGGAAGCAAGCAAAGGGUCUCUUUCUACUCGAUGAAGUUCGCUCCCAGGACCCCGGGCAGCGGCGAGUGCUGGACCGGGCUGCCCGGCAGCGUCGCAUCAACCGGCAGCUGGAGGCCCUGGAGAAUGACAACUUCCAGGAUGACCCCCACGCGGGACUCCCUCAGCUCGGCAAGAGACUGCCUCAGUUUGAUGACGAUGCGGACACUGGAAAGAAAAAGAAGAAAACCCGAGGUGAUCAUUUUAAACUUCGCUUCCGAAAAAACUUUCAGGCUCUGUUGGAGGAGCAGAAUUUGAGUGUGGCCGAGGGCCCUAACUACCUGACGGCCUGUGCGGGACCCCCAUCGCGGCCCCAGCGCCCCUUCUGUGCUGUCUGUGGCUUCCCAUCCCCCUACACCUGUGUCAGCUGCGGUGCCCGGUACUGCACUGUGCGCUGUCUGGGGACCCACCAGGAGACCAGGUGUCUGAAGUGGACUGUGUGA